rnacentral:lncRNA from 1 species
GACUUCAUCAGGCACUGCUAUCAUGGGGCACUGGUAACAAAUAAAUAUCACUUUGGAGGCCAUGUGCAGAUCAGAUUUGGAAGUGACCAAGACUGGAGGCAGGGACACCAGAGUUUUCUGUUAAAAACUGGUCCAUGCAAGAAAAGAUGACUCCUGAAAUAAGACAGUGAUCAUUAGGAUGAAGAGGAAGAGAAGAUUUGAGGAAUACUUAGAACAGAAUUUACUGAAUUUACUGGUUGAAUUGAAUGUGAAGAGGAGAUGAAUAAAGAAGAAAACACCCUCAAAGGAACAAAUAUGAAACAAUCUCUGGAAAAUGGAAUUUGAUUUUGAUUCAACAACAGGAGAAUUCUACUGUUUUUCUCCAGCAGCUCCACGAUAAAAGGGAACCCUGAGCAGAACACAUGCACAAACUCAUGCCAUACCCUAAGGGACAAGGUUCCCCACAUCUACUUGGAAAUCUUUGGGAUGCUCAAUGAUUAGCUCUUUGGAACUGAGAGAUGAGAUGAGGCCUGGAAAACUUCCCCCAGUACAGUCAAGUUCCUGUUGACUAAUUCUGUGACCACCAGUGACAGUCUUUGAGUCCGUGAGGCAGAGUUGCGGCAGCACAGGCUUUGCUUGGAGUUGGAUGGUUCGCACCCUGCUUGGCAUGGUUUCUAAGAGACAUCCUCUGAGUGGAUGAGGGGAGAAUCCAGCAGGCCUCUAGUCACACUGGACAGUUGCUCUGAUUCAUUUCUGGACUUCAGUGGAAGAAGCAGCCCUUAUUUAGGAUAUUGUUAGUCUUUGGCAGAGGGAAUACAAAGCAAUGGAAGGGUGAUGUGAUGGCUCCGAAAGCUUCUGUUGGAUGUAGAAUAUAAAGUUUGCUCACCUUUUUUAAUCCAAAGAGAAAAACAAGGAGAGAAAAAUCUAAACCCAGCAGAAGAGAAAGUUUAAGAAAGCGGUCGUCGCCAAUACCAAAAUUAGCUAUGAUAUUCAGGAAGAAAAAAAUGGAAACACGAUAACCACAGUCAAUAAAGACCAAGGCCACAUUCCAUUGACCAGAGCUCAGCCACGCGCCACACCUGGCUAAAGAGACUCUGGCUGAAGAAUUCCCUGAAUAUUUUAAUGUAGCUCUAGGUUAUAACACAGAACAACCACAAGGUGGCAGAAGAACUCCAUUCUUGUAAAUCUCUUAGUUGCUUCUUUAUUUCAUCUUCCCUAUUCCAUCUAAUGUUCCCUGAAUUUUACUAUUUUGUUGGUUUGAAAAUAUGUGUGACUUACGUCCUUUAAAGGAUUUGGUUCGUAAGGUUUUGAAUAGACUGGAAUAUAAAACAUUUAUAGAAAAGAAAAAUACCUACAGUAUGAUGUUAGUGAACUAUUAAUAAUCCAAUUAAAUAAAAUAUAUUUGCUUUGGAUUAAUACA